AAUUAAUGCUUAUCAUCGGGAAUUAUUUAGAAUAUUUUCACCUAUAAAAUAUAACCCGACCGUCGGGCAGGGGGAUUCGAAAAUCUCACAGCCCGAGUUAAAAUCAACCCGUCUCGGACGGUCGGGCAGGCAGGUAUUUCGAACGCUGCACCAACCCCUCCAGCCACCUAUAUUUAGGUACAUUUUAGUUCACUGUUCUGUUUCAGCAUGCAUGUUCCAGUGUUUUUCUAUUGAAUUCAAUUAUGCGUUUUUAUUCUAUUUCUCCAGUCUGGGUCAUCUUAAAUAAGAACCCCUCUCCGCCGGCUGCUCAACGCCAUUCUCCCGUCAACACGUCAAGGCCAAAUGAUGACAGCACUUUUGUAAUCUGAUACGACAUCGCCAAAUAAACUGCAGCGCGGCCCCGGAACAAAUCCCUUCAGUGAAGGUUCACAUGAACAAAUCUCCCACCUCCUAACUGAUAAAGACGAGGACGGCUGGAUAAUUAAUCUGCAAGCUGUCUGUAACAGACGACACGUUCUUUACUUCCGGCUGGGAAUGCAUUUAUAUUAUACAAUAUCAUCUUCAAUUAGUUCCAACUAUUUUAUCAUCAAGCGUGUCAAAUAGGCAUGGACGUUGUGAAACAAACAAUGAAGACAUAUGGCACACAAAAGAGCUCGGCACAUGUACAUUGUAAGAGUUUACUGGCUAAAGUUGAUGGAAUAUUCCAGUGCAAACUGUGUCCGGAAUCAACGUCACGGCGGUACAAUGUCAAGGAAGGACACAUAAACAAGCACACACAACAUGCCGUCAAAGUUGGGGAUUUAUGGGUGUUAAGCUGCUUUUUGGAUUGUACUCCGAAACAAGACCGGUGCCAUUACCACUGCCCGUGUGGUAAACUCUUUCGGAGAAAGUUCACAUUUGUCCGACACACGACCACGGUUUGCCCUUUUGUUCUGACAACAAACCAGACAGCUUCUGAGGAAAGAACUUCAGCAGAGUCCCCUAACAUCCAAAAAGUGAAGAGAGAGCAAGUUCCGAAAGAGACAUGUUUUGUCUGCAAUGCAAUGAUCUCUAAGAAAAACAUUAAAAGACAUAUUGAGACACACAAUGCACGGGAUGAAGUGAAAACCAAGUCAUACCAACGUGGAAUAUGCGUUGAUAAACACCGCGGUCUCUACAUGAUCAGCAAGUCCAGUAUCGGUCCAGAUUACCCACUUCAUGUACAAAUGAACACUGUCACACAGCAGAUACAAUGUGAACAUGAAAAUUGCAAUUUAGCUUUGGGUGUUGCAGCAAGGGGCAAUGUGGGUAUUUAUCAGUGCCCCCAUUUGCAAUCAGUUAUGUUUGCAAGUGAAUGCCCGAAAGAAGUACACCUCCAGUCAGAACAUGCUGAAAAUCUUUGUCAACAGAAGGUAAUACAUUCUACUAACAUGCAGGUUGCCCAGAAGCUUGUAGGCACUGCAGAACAAAGCAAAAUACCUGUCGUCGUUUUAUGGGAGCAGAAGCACUCUGUUAACAGCGUUUAUUUCUCCGUGUAUGAUGGAACGAAGGAAUACUGGGCUAAACUCGGUCGCGCUGUAGUCACAUUCUUCAAGGACAAAGGACAGCUGAAUUGCGUUUGCUGUAAAACCACCAAAUCUUGCGUACACAAGACUCUUAUCAAAUGGUAUUUGGCACAGGAACACCCAGAGUUGCUGCACAUUAGCUCCAAGGGAAGCGGUUACAUCUGUAGUGAGAAUGAAGGGGUAUCAGUUGGACAUUAUCGUAGCGAGGAACCAACAACAUCGGUCACCUUUGAAACCCGAACCUUACAAGAUUCCGGAAGCAGCUUCUGUAAGACAUACCCACCAUCCGGACAAGGUGCACGUUUAAUGGCCAAUUAUCUAAUGUCCAGGAAGAAAAUACCACCAGAUUUUAAAGUUCCGGAAAAUGCCCAAUUAGGACAUCUAGAAAACCUGUCGCCUAUCGAAACACAUUGUGUAAUGUGUGCAGAUGGAGGAGAACUUGACCAGUAUCUGGUAACCAGAAAGGGGAAGAUAUACGAUAAAGGUCAUGUGUAUACAGAUAUAGCUGUUUUCAUAAAGAAGUGCAAAGCGUGCGGUCACUUCUACAGGUACCAAGAGCACAGGGAUGGUAUACACAAUUUUGACGACCACGUGUUCCUGUCAGUUCGCCUGUGCCACUGGUUCAGAGUUAACUUGAAGAAUCAUACAGCCGUAGGAAGGGCUGCCGACAUCUUAUCAGAAGAUUCCGGCUUACAUUUUCCCGGAGACAAAAUGUUACAGGGAUAUCUGCACUUUGAGGCAAUGUGCGAUCACAAGUACAACUUUACCUGUGACAUCUGUGGCCGUUUUCCAUGUUGCCUGGUGACAGAUGCAAAUAGGAAAUGUGCAUUUCCAUUAGCAUUGUCACAAGUACCAGGGACAGAAACAGCUACAGAUGGAAUCAACAUGGAUGUGUUUUGGAGCCAAACGGUGGAGGCGUCUAUUUUACUUCGAGGUUUUGGAAAAGAAGCAGCCAACGACGUCGGGCGUGUUACACCUAGUUAUGACAACUGGGCUCCUUUCAUUGGAUUAGCCAGAAAAGAUUAAAAUGCUUUCAACACUGAAGCUGAAAAAGUACGAUCUCUCAGAACCCAUCUUCAAGAUACAGAUUUUGAUACAGGGGAUAAGGAACUGACUGAAGAUUUCCUGAUCCAAACGUUAUGUGAAAAGAAGGUUCUGGAUGUACGGCACUGGUGUACAAAGAUGGAAGUAGACGCCAAAGGGACCAAAUUAGAGAUGAUCAACAGCUUGAAGGAAAAGUUGAAAAGCAAAUCAACCUUAACAAGUUAUUUUCAAGCAUAUGGGGCCAUUCUGGUGGAUGGGUAUCAGCGUCCUGCCCCCAUAGAAUAGUGUACGCGUUCAAAGCUAUUCUGAGGCCUGAAAGUGUCAGAGACCAUGUCGACAUAAUUCUAUCUAUGUCAAGACAACCGCCAGUCAUCAUUAGUGACGUAGCCCCAAUGAUGUCACGCCAUGGUAACAAGCGGCGGAAGAACAUGUUCUCGCCCAACGAAGGACGCUUGGGUGAAGCGACUGCAGACAAUAUAAAAAAAGCUAAGGAGGGGGUAUUUUCAAAGAGUAUACCUUGCAUGAAGGAAUGGGUGACAGUAGCACCAGUCUCCGACAAUGAUUUGCCAACCUCAAAUGAAACGUUCUGUUUGCUGGAUAGGUUUCAUGAAGGGAAUACAAAAUCAGAUGAGGAACUCCUAAGGCGUAUAACGUUUGUUCCCGAAAUGAAGGGCUCAAUAAAUUCACAAGUUGAAGAGCAGCUGCACAGGGAAAUGAACCGGAACAACUACUUUCUAGAUUCGAUGUCGCCGGGUAACUACAUGUUUGUCCUGCGAUUGCUUCUACAUUUUCACAAUGAACAUACAAACAGGAAAAUGACAAGGAAAACUGAACACAGACAUUUCGUAUGGUGAAAUACGUCAUGACAAGUUUGGCCGCCUGCAUCUUUCAGAUUUGGACAAUGCAGCAGAAAAAGAAGAGAAAACAGACCUUUGGACGAGGACCGAAGACGCACAGAAGCACAAGAAAAUAUCGCUCAAAUAUCACAAAGUUACCUUGAAACAACUGCAAGAAGCACUGCAGAAGGCUAGUCCAUCAAACGUGACAACGUUUUGCCAAGGGACAUCAGAACGACUUCUGGCCUCGGUAACCGAACACGGGCUGCGUUUUAGAGGGAGAACUCCCGGAGAUGGCAACUGUUUUUUCCACGCAGUUGUAGAUCAGCUUCAACGCCUCGAUACCAGAUCAGUGAUUGACCACAGGGGACUAAGGAUGGCACACCGGACCAUAUAUUUGUGCAUAUGUUACGUGUUAUUGGUCUGGUGAGGGUACUGGGGUUGCCCUUCGGGUGCAGAUACACUCGAUAAGUGAAUACAGAUGAUACAGGAUGUCUGCGCACAUCAUUCAAAUUCAUAACACAGGUAUUCAGUGGGGUUCAGGUGGAGGUACGAAAUUUCGCUGGACAAGGCAGUUCCACGACUGGCAUAAAACAUGCCGACUAAAGUGGAGGAUAAGGUCAGUUCUAUAGCUGUGUACAUGGUCGGUAUUUUCUAACAUGGUUAAUGGACGUAACUCUGCACAGCGAAUAGAUGACAGCUCCUUGUUCCUCGCCCCAUUCAACCUCACCUCGCUAUGAUUAGAGUUUAAGGCGCAUGUAGGUGUUUAAUUUCAGAGAGUGAUCGUGGUUUUAGCCGGUCAAUGGAACCGUUGAUGACCUCAGAAAUUAGAUCCAUAGAUGGUACUCAUGUGGGAAAUGUAACAAUGGCUUGCGGCGUGACAAGCAAACGUUUCAGCCACAAUACUACACCCACACCCUAAGCCUAAAAUUGAUAUAUGAUGAAUUACUAAUUAAAAUUCUACCAAACCUGCUUGUGUAACGUCAAUUAUA
rnacentral:misc_RNA from 1 species